ACCUCCCUCCUUGGACUCGGGUGAGUUUACAUGUACAGAGUGUGGAAGGAUGUAGGACAAUGUCCCCAGCUGUAACUGACGGGGCAGGCCAAGCCAUCAUCUCUGCCAUUCUAGUGACUCAGCCAACCUCACACAUCUGCAGUCGCCUGCUGGUCCCAUCUGAAGGAAGAAGGAAUGUGAGCCACGCCUUGAGAUGGCUCCUUUGGUGAAGAAUCCGCCUCUCAAGCAUGAAGACCUGCGUGCCCAUCCCCAGCUCCCAUGUAAAAAGCCAGGUCUGGUGGCCCCAUCUUGCAAUCCUCCAUAGCAAGACGCAAGGUAGAGACAGGCAGAUUUCUGGAGCUCACUGGCCGGUCGGCCUAGCCUAUUUAGUGAAGUUCCAGGACCACGAGAGACUUUGCCUCAAAGAAAAGGUGAACAAUACCUGAGGAAUGACACCUGAGGUUAACUUCUGACCCCCACAUGUGUGUGCCAAGCACACAUGUACUCCCCCAUGAACACAUACGUGUACUUUUUUUUUUUUGCUAAUGUUUGUUGACUGACUCCCAGACUUAAAAGAGAAGCCCAUUGCUAUUAACUUCUUCUUCCAUCCCUUUCCCCCAGACUUGGGUUUUCCUAUUGUCUUCCAUUUUCACACAGUUCUCACCUAUAACUCUCUUAAUCUUCCACUGAACCAUACAUUCUCUGGCCAUCUUAGCAUGGGAGUCAUUACUCCCAGCCAUUUUUUUUUUUUUUUUUGUCCCCAGGAUGCCAUACCUGGUUCUUUGCUGGCUAGAUUCCAUACCAACAGAAAUAAAAACCUAAUAACUUCU
rnacentral:lncRNA from 1 species